AUUGAACGCUGGCGGCAGGCUUAACACAUGCCAUUCGAGCGAGCGGCGGACGGGUGAGUAAUGUCUGGGACACUCCCUGAUGGAGGGGGAUAACUACUGGAAACGGUAUCUAAUACCGCAUACCAUCAGCUGUGCCCAGAUGGGAUUAGCUAGUAGGUGGGGUAAUGGCUCACCUAGGCGACGAUCCCUAUCUGGUCUGAGAGGAUGACCAGCGAAACGGGAACGGAGACACGGUGCAGACGACUACGGGAGGCAGGAGUGGGGAAUAAUGCACAAUGGGCGCAAGGCUGAUGAAGCCAUGCCGCGUGUGUGAAGAAGGCGUUCGGGGUGUAAAGCACUGUCAGCGAGGAGGCGUUACUCGCAGAAGAAGCACCGGCUAACUACGUGCCAGCAGCCGCGGUAAUUC
rnacentral:rRNA from 1 species